AGCUUUUGACAUGUCCUGGACGGAUAGCAGAGAUGCUUUCUUCUCUUCGGAGCCAGGAACACAGGUGCUGCAUGGCUGUCGUCAGCUCGUGUCGUGAGAUGUUGGGUUAAGUCCCGCAACGAGCGCAACCCUCGCCUUUAGUUGCCAUCAUUCAGUUGGGCACUCUAGAGGGACUGCCGGUGAUAAGCCGGAGGAAGGUGGGGAUGACGUCAAGUCCUCAUGGCCCUUACAGGCUGGGCUACACACGUGCUACAAUGGCGGUGACAAUGGGAUGCGAAGGGGCGACCCGGAGCAGAUCUCCAAAAGCCGUCUCAGUUCGGAUUGUACUCUGCAACUCGAGUGCAUGAAGGUGGAAUCGCUAGUAAUCGUAGAUCAGAACGUACGGGAA
rnacentral:rRNA from 1 species